rnacentral:rRNA from 1 species
GACGAACGCUGGCGGCGUGCCUAAUACAUGCAAGUCGAGCGCAGGAAACUGACGGAACUCUUCGGAGGGAAGGCAGUGGAAUGAGCGGCGGACGGGUGAGUAACACGUAAGGAACCUGCCUCAAGGAUUGGGAUAACUCCGAGAAAUCGGAGCUAAUACCGGAUAGUUCAACGGACCGCAUGGUCCGCUGAUGAAAGGCGCUCCGGCGUCACCUUGAGAUGGCCUUGCGGUGCAUUAGCUAGUUAGUGGGGUAACGGCCCACCAAGGCGACGAUGCAUAGCCGACCUGAGAGGGUGAUCGGCCACACUGGGACUGAGACACGGCCCAGACUCCUACGGGAGGCAGCAGUAGGGAAUCUUCCACAAUGGACGAAAGUCUGAUGGAGCAACGCCGCGUGAGUGAUGAAGGUUUUCGAAUCGUAAAACUCUGUUGUAAGGGAAGAACACGUACGAGAGGAAAUGCUCGUACCUUGACGGUACCUUACGAGAAAGCCACGGCUAACUACGUGCCAGCCGCCGCAGUAAAAC